AACGAACGCUGGCGGCAUGCCUAACACAUGCAAGUCGAACGAGACCUUCGGGUCUAGUGGCGCACGGGUGCGUAACGCGUGGGAACCUGCCCUUAGGUUCGGAAUAACUCCCCGAAAGGGGUGCUAAUACCGGAUAAUGUCUUCGGACCAAAGAUUUAUCGCCUUUGGAUGGGCCCGCGUUGGAUUAGCUAGUUGGUAGGGUAAAAGCCUACCGAGGCGACGAUCCAUAGCUGGUCUGAGAGGAUGAUCAGCCACACUGGGACUGAGACACGGCCCAGACUCCUACGGGAGGCAGCAGUGGGGAAUAUUGGACAAUGGGCGAAAGCCUGAUACAGCAAUGCCGCGUGAGUGAUGAAGGCCUUAGGGUUGUAAAGCUCUUUUACCCGGGAUGAUAAUGACAGUACCGGGAGAAUAAGCACCGGCUAACUCCGUG
rnacentral:rRNA from 1 species